UACGGGGGGGGCAAGCGUUGUUCGGAAUUACUGGGCGUAAAGGGUUCGUAGGUGGCCAACUAAGUCAGACGUGAAAUCCCUCAGCUUAACUGGGGAACUGCGUCUGAGACUGGAUGGCUUGAGUGCAGGAGAGGAACGCGGAAUUCCAGGUGUAGCGGUGAAAUGCGUAGAUAUCUGGAGGAACACCGGUGGCGAAGGCGGCAUCCUGGACCGGCAUUGACGCUGAGGCGCGAAAGCCAGGGGAGCAAACGGG
rnacentral:rRNA from 1 species